CUGUCAAGAAAAGCCGCUAUUGUUUGCAGGAUACCCGUACCGUAAACCGACACAGGUGGAUGAGGAGAGAAUCCUAAGGCCGACGGGAGAAGCAUUGUUAAGGAACUCGGCAAAAUGACUCCGUAACUUCGGGAGAAGGAGUGCCAGUAAGAUGGCCGCAGAGAAUUGGCCCAAGCAACUGUUUAGCAAAAACACGGGUCUAUGCAAAACCGAAAGGUGAGGUAUAUGGGCUGACGCCUGCCCGGUGCUGGAAGGUUAAGGGGAGAGGUUAGCGCAAGCGAAGCUUUGAACUUAAGCCCCAGUAAACGGCGGCCGUAACAAUAACGGUCCUAAGGUAGCGAAAUUCCUUGUCGGGUAGGUUCCGACCCGCACGAAAGGCGUAAUGAUUUGGGCACUGUCUCAACAAUGCACCCGGUGAAAUUGAAAUACCAGUGAAGAUGCUGGUUACCUGCGCCAGGACGGAAAGACCCCAUGGAGCUUUACUCCAGCUUGAUACUGGGAUUCGGUAUUGCAUGUACAGGAUAGGUGGGAGGCUAGGAAAUGGUAACGCCAGUUGCCAUGGAGCCAAUGUUGGGAUACCACCCUUGCAGUACUGGGUUUCUAACCAGCAGCCGUGAUCCGGCUGGGGGACAAUGUCAGGUGGGGAGUUUGACUGGGGCGGUCGCCUCCGAAAGGGUAUCGGAGGCGCUCAAAGGUUCCCUCAGAAUGGUUGGAAACCAUUCGAAGAGUGCAAAGGCAGAAGGGAGCUUGACUGCGACACCGACGGGUGGAGCAGGUACGAAAGUAGGACUUAGUGAUCCGGUGGUAUAAAGUGGGAUUGCCAUCGCUCAACGGAUAAAAGCUACCCUGGGAUAACAGGCUUAUCACUCCCAAGAGUUCACAUCGACGGAGUGGUUUGGCACCUCGAUGUCGGCUCAUCGCAUCCUGGGGCUGAAGUAGGUCCCAAGGGUUGGGCUGUUCGCCCAUUAAAGCGGUACGCGAGCUGGGUUCAGAACGUCGUGAGACAGUUCGGUCCCUAUCCGGCGUGGGCGUAAGAUAUUUGAGAGGAGCUGUCCUUAGUACGAGAGGACCGGGAUGGACUGGCCGCUGGUGUAUCUGUUGUCUUACCAAAGGCAUAGCAGAGUAGCCAAGCCGGGAAGGGAUAAACGCUGAAGGCAUCUAAGCGUGAAGCCCCCCUCAAGAUGAGAUAUCUCAUAACGUCAAGUUAGUAAGACCCCUUGAAGACGACGAGGUAGAUAGGGCAGAGGUGGAAGUGUGGUAACACAUGGAGCUGACUGUUACUAAUAGGUCGAGGGCAUAACCG
rnacentral:rRNA from 1 species